rnacentral:rRNA from 1 species
UGAAUACGAGACGCUAAGGCGUCGAAGUAGUGUAUGUCAUACUUCCAAGAAAAGCUUGCACUGUCAUAGAUAAAAAACGCCUGUACCAUAACCGACACAGGUGGGUAGGUAGAGUAUACUAAGGGGCGCGAGAUAACUCUCUCUAAGGAACUCGGCAAAAUAACUCCGUAACUUCGGGAGAAGGAGUGCCUUAUUUUUAAGGCUGCAAUAACAAGAUCCAAGCAACUGUUUAUCAAAAACACAGGUCUCCGCUAAGUCGUAAGACGAUGUAUGGGGGCUGACGCCUGCCCAGUGCCAGAAGGUUAAAGAAGUUGGUUAGCUUUUGCGAAGCUGAUAACUGAAGCCCUGGUGAACGGCGGCCGUAACAAUAACGGUCCUAAGGUAGCGAAAUUCCUUGUCGGGUAAGUUCCGACCCGCACGAAAGGCGUAAUGAUUUGGAUACUGUCUCGGAGAGGGGCUCGGUGAAAUAGACUUGUCUGUGAAGAUGCGGACUACCUGCACCAGGACAGAAAGACCCUAUGAAGCUUUACUGUAACUUGAAAUUGAAAUUGGACUUUAUUCGCGCAGCAUAGGUGGGAGGCGUUGAUUAUAAUCUCGUGGGAUUAUUGGAGCCAUCAGUGAGAUACCACUCUUGUAAUGUUAGAUUUCUAACUUUGAAUCAUUAUCUGGUCAAAGAACAGUUUCAGGCGGGCAGUUUGACUGGGGCGGUCGCCUCCUAAACGGUAACGGAGGCGUACAAAGGUUUCCUCUGAACGGUUAGAAAUCGUAUCUAGAGUGUAAAGGCAUAAGGAAGCUUGACUGUGAGACCUACAAGUCGAGCAGGGACGAAAGUCGGUCUUAGUGAUCUGACGGUACUGAGUGGAAAGGCCGUCACUCAACGGAUAAAAGUUACUCUAAGGAUAACAGGCUGAUCUCCCCCAAGAGUUCACAUCGACGGGGAGGUUUGGCACCUCGAUGUCGGCUCAUCGCAUCCUGGGGCGGUAGUACGUCCCAAGGGUUGGGCUGUUCGCCCAUGAAAGCGGUACGCGAGCUGGGUUCAGAACGUCGUGAGACAGUUCGGUCCAUAUCCGGUGUAGGCGUUAGAAUAUUGAGAGGAGCCUUCUUUAGUACGAGAGGACCGAGAAGGACAUACCUCUGGUGUACCAGUUAUCGUGCCAACGGUAAACGCUGGGUAGCUAUGUAUGGAGUGGAUAACCGCUGAAAGCAUCUAAGUGGGAAGCCCACCUCAAGAUAAGUAUUCUCAUC